rnacentral:rRNA from 1 species
CACGUGGUUUAAUUCGAUGCAAACCGAAGAACCUUACUGGGUUGACAUGUGCGUGUUACUGAGGUGAAAGCCGAGGGACCAUAUCUUCGGAUGUGGAGCGUACACAGGUGCUGCAUGGCUGUCGUCAGCUCGUGUCGUGAGAUGUUGGUUAAGUCCCGCAACGAGCGCAACCCCUGCAUUCAGUUGCCAACGGUAAGGCCGGGCACUCUGGAUGGACUGCCGGCGACAAGCCGGAGGAAGGUGGGAUGACGUCAAGUCAUCAUGGCCCUUAUGUCCAGGGCGACACACGUGCUACAAUGGCCGGCACAGCGGGAAGCGAGGGGGCGACCUUGAGCGGAUCCCUCAAAGCCGGUCUCAGUUCGGAUUGCAGUCUGCAACUCGACUGCAUGAAGUUGGAAUCGCUAGUAAUCGUGGAUCAGCCAAGCCGCGGUGAAUACGUUCCCGGGCCUU